ACCUACGGGGGGCAGCAGUAGGGAAUCUUCCACAAUGGACGAAAGUCUGAUGGAGCAACGCCGCGUGAGUGAAGAAGGGUUUCGGCUCGUAAAGCUCUGUUGGUAGUGAAGAAAGAUAGAGGUAGUAACUGGCCUUUAUUUGACGGUAAUUACUUAGAAAGUCACGGCUAACUACGUGCCAGCAGCCGCGGUAAUACGUAGGUGGCAAGCGUUAUCCGGAUUUAUUGGGCGUAAAGCGAGCGCAGGCGGUUGCUUAGGUCUGAUGUGAAAGCCUUCGGCUUAACCG
rnacentral:rRNA from 1 species